rnacentral:lncRNA from 1 species
CCCAGGUCACCGGGGAACCUGGCAAAGUACUAUGCCUGAUGACUGUCAACUUUUGCUUAUCAUUUCUUUUUUCAUGCAUAGAGUAGGCUUAAGGCAGCCACUGAAACAUCACAGCAGAUGAACCACAGCCCUGACAUUCAGACAGACACAUCCCAAGACACUGAAACAUCACAGCAGAUGAACCACAGCCCUGGCAUUCGGACGGACACAUCCCAAGAGGUUGCUGUUCUUUGCUCUCCGUGAUCAAGAGAAUGGAGAUGAAAGCUCAUGUGAUGUUCCCCAGUGGAAGGAGCGCUUCUUCAUGGCCACACGGAGGGAGAGGCCACCAGGCCGUCAGACCAAGCCUGGACCACACGGUGGUGUUCGCCCUGUGUACCCCCGAAAAAGCUGCUGACCCAUCCCAGGUCUUCUUGAGGCAUCGGCUUACCCGGAGCGUCCUCCAGGGUCCGUGUGCAGAGGGGAGGCGUGGAGCAGAGC